GGCUGGAUCACCUCCUUUUGAGUAUGGUGAAUAUAAUUGUCUUACCAGGCGUCCUCACAAGUUACUUGCAUUCAGGGUUUGAUGUCGGCAUAGGUUUGGGUUUAUGUUGGCGAUUUUUGUUCUGGGGGCCUUAGCUCAGCUGGUAGAGCACCUGCUUUGCAAGCAGGGGGUCGUCGGUUCGAUCCCGACAGGCUCCACCAUGAAAGUAUUUAUGGGUCUGUAGCUCAGGUGGUUAGAGCGCACCCCUGAUAAGGGUGAGGUCGGUGGUUCGAGUCCUCCCAGACCCACCAAUGUUAUAUCAANUAUUCUGAAUGUAGUUNGCGCAUUUUUAUGCUUAUCAGCCUUGGAGCUGUGAAGCGUUCUUUUAUAAUUUGAUGAUGUAGCAAGCGUUUGAAAUUUUUAUUAAAAAUUUCUCAUUUGAAGCCUUAAGUGACAAUGUUUAUCCAUUGUCUUGUAGAUUUUGAGGCGACUUGGGGUUAUAUGUCAAGCGAAUAAGCGCACAUGUGGAUNCCUUGGCGNUCAGGAGCGAUGAAGGACGUGUUAGCCUGCGAAAAGUUUCGGGGAGCUGGCAACAAGCUUUGAUCCGGCCAAUAUCCGAAUGGGGGAACCCACUGUUUCAGGCAGUAUCUUUGAGUAAAUUCAUAGCUCAAGGAGGCGAACCUGGUGAACUGAAAUAUCUAAGUAACCAGAGGAAAAGAAAUCAACAGAGAUUCCCUGAGUAGUGACGAGCGAACGGGGAUUAGCCCUUAAGCUAGUAUGGUUUUAGGAAAGCAAUCUGGGAAGGUUGGCCAUAGAAGGUGAUAGCCCUGUAUCCGAAAGGGCCGUACUAGUGAAGAUGAGUAGGACGGGGCACGUGAAACCUUGUCUGAAUAUGGGGGGUCCAUCCUCCAAGGCUAAAUACUCCUGACCGACCGAUAGUGAACCAGUACCGUGAGGGAAAGG
rnacentral:sRNA from 1 species